rnacentral:tRNA from 1 species
GGACGGUUGCCCGAGCGGUCCAAGGGCGCGUGUUUGAAGCACGAUGUGCCGGCCCUGAUCCGGCUCGGGGGUUCAAAUCCCUCACCGUCCGCCA